rnacentral:rRNA from 1 species
AGGUUAAGUGAAUAAGGGCGCACGGUGGAUGCCUUGGCACUAGGAGCCGAUGAAGGACGGGACUAACACCGAUAUGCUUCGGGGAGCUGUAAGUAAGCUUUGAUCCGGAGAUUUCCGAAUGGGGGAACCCAGCAUCUUUUGUAGGAUGUUACCUUUAAGUGAAUUCAUAGCUUAUUGGAGGUAGACGCAGAGAACUGAAACAUCUAAGUACCUGCAGGAAGAGAAAGAAAAUUCGAUUCCCUGAGUAGCGGCGAGCGAAACGGGAACAGCCCAAACCAACAAGCUUGCUUGUUGGGGUUGUAGGACUCAAAUGUGGUAGUAAGCAAGAUAGCCGAAUGACUUGGAAAAGUCAGCCAAAGUGGGUGAAAG